AGGACGAACGCUGGCGGCGUGCUUAACACAUGCAAGUCACGGGGGCCCGCAAGGGCAACCGGCGAACGGGUGCGUAACACGUGAGCAACCUACCGAGAUGUGGGGGAUAGCCGGCCCAACGGCCGGGUAAUACCGCAUACGCUCUUUCCACGGCAUUGUGGAUUGAGGAAACCUCCGGGGCAUUUCGAGGGGCUCGCGGCCUAUCAGCUAGUUGGUGCGGUCACGGCGCACCAAGGCGACGACGGGUAGCUGGUCUGAGAGGAUGGCCAGCCACAGUUGGGACUGAGAAACGGCCCAGACUCCGUACGGGAGCAGCAGUGGG
rnacentral:rRNA from 1 species